GAUGAACGCUGGCGGCGUGCCUAAUACAUGCAAGUCGAGCGAACAGACGAGGAGCUUGCUCCUCUGACGUUAGCGGCGGACGGGUGAGUAACACGUGGAUAACCUACCUAUAAGACUGGGAUAACUUCGGGAAACCGGAGCUAAUACCGGAUAAUAUAUUGAACCGCAUGGUUCAAUAGUGAAAGACGGUUUUGCUGUCACUUAUAGAUGGAUCCGCGCCGCAUUAGCUAGUUGGUAAGGUAACGGCUUACCAAGGCAACGAUGCGUAGCCGACCUGAGAGGGGGGAUGGCCCACACGGGACAUGAGACCCGGCCAAGCCCCCUACGGGAGGAGGCAGGAGGGAAUCUUCCGCAAGGGGCGAAAGCCUGGGGGAGCAACGCCGGGGGAUGGAUAAAGGUCUUCGGAUCGAAAAACUCUUUUAUGGGGAAAAAACAAAUGUGAAAUUAACUAUGCCCGUCUUGACGUUACCUAAUAAGAAAGCCACGGCUAACUCCGUG
rnacentral:rRNA from 1 species